rnacentral:rRNA from 1 species
UACGGGGGGGGGCAAGCGUUGUUCGGAAUUACUGGGCGUAAAGGGCUCGUAGGCGGCCAACUAAGUCAUACGUGAAAUCCCUCGGCUUAACCGGGGAACUGCGUCUGAUACUGGAUGGCUUGAGUUCGGGAGAGGGAAGUGGAAUUCCCGGUGUAGUGGUGAAAUGCGUAGAUAUCGGGAGGAACACCAGUGGCGAAGGCGACUCACGUGCCUGUUCUUGACGCUGAGGCGCGAAAGCUAGGGGAGCAAACGGG